GCCGGUGUGGCUCAGUGGAUAGAGCAUCGGCCUGUAGACUGAAGGAUCCCGGGUUCAAUUCCGGUCAAGGGCA
rfam:Myotis lucifugus cont2.47772, whole genome shotgun sequence.